rnacentral:lncRNA from 1 species
GGCAGCCGUAUACGACUUAUGCCACAUCUCAGCUGGCGCGCAUUCAGAGCUUUGGCCUAUGAAGCUUAGAGAAAAAAAUGGAUGCGACAUUUAUAACUGCAACGCUGCUGGUCAUAUAUGUCGCCUUCGGGGAGCCCAGCAGUGCGGCCAACACAAGAAACGGCGUCUGCAAGGAGACUCCUACAGUCGAAAACUGCACCAUUGUGCUCUUGAAAUGGAGCUUCAAUAGUGAGUCGAACGACUGCGAAAGAAAUUAUGUUUGCCGAGAAAACAAGAAUUUGUUUGACUCGAAAGAGGAGUGCACCACAACUUGCCCAUCAAUUCCAGGAAUGGUACCGCGGCCGAAAGAAAGGGAUUGCUACUACUGGCUCGCUAAAGGAAGCGGAUGUUACUCAUACUCGUUUACAUGGCAUUAUGACUAUUGGGGAAGAAGGCGUCUGGUCAUGAUAUAUACUGGAUGUGGAAGGUGGCGUCAUAGGCUCUAUGCUUAUUAUCUGGAUGCAAGGAAAUGCGUAGAAAUAAGAAGAAACGAAUACGGAUCACGGGAAUAAAGCACGACAAUGCGUAUCGUCUCACCCAUA